rnacentral:lncRNA from 1 species
AUCUGGAGAUAGAAAUUGAACUGAUAAAGUGUCAGACAAAAAUGAGGCUCAGAGAAAGAGAAAGGGCUUUAGGAACCAAUUAGCCCAACUUCUUUCCUUUUGAAAACAGGCCCAGAGAGAUUUGUGUAUCUAAUAAAUUUGGGUAUCUAAUAAAUUAGGUACACAAACAAGUAACAGAGGCAAGAUUUGAACUAAGUUUCUCUGACCCUUUAUCCAAGAGAACAGUUAGAAGAGAGGAUUUCAUGAGGAACCUAAGAUCCCUAAAGUUCUCCAGAACUUUAGCAUUAAUUCUGUGAAAACCAGCUUGUUGAGAGUUUGCUUUACUGGAAAAAGUGGAUGAAGAACAUUGAAGAAGAACUGAUGAAUUCCAGAAUUUCAUAUGAUUCCAUUGGCAAACAUAAAAUGACGCUGACAAGUUCCUAAAGACAUUUCUCAGGCUGAGAUAUGAGUGAGUCCAUUGUUUAAAAAG